rnacentral:rRNA from 1 species
UAGGGAAUCUUCCGCAAUGGGCGAAAGCCUGACGGAGCAACGCCGCGUGAGUGAUGAAGGUCUUCGGAUCGUAAAACUCUGUUAUUAGGGAAGAACAAAUGUGUAAGUAACUAUGCACGUCUUGACGGUACCUAAUCAGAAAGCCACGGCUAACUACGUGCCAGCAGCCGCGGUAAUACGUAGGUGGCAAGCGUUCUCCGGAAUUAUUGGGCGUAAAGCGCGCGUAGGCGGUUUUUUAAGUCUGAUGUGAAAGCCCACGGCUCAACCGUGGAGGAUCAUUGGGAACUGGAAAGCUUGAGUGCAGAAGAGGAAAGUGGAAUUCCAUGUGUAGCGGUGAAAUGCGCAGGGAUAUGGAGGAACACCAGUGGCGAAGGCGACGUUCUGGUCUGUAACUGACGCUGAUGUGCGAAAGCGUGGGGAUCAAACAGG